rnacentral:rRNA from 1 species
GACGAACGCUGGCGGCGUGCUUAACACAUGCAAGUCGAACGGAAAGGCCCUGCUUUUGUGGGGUGCUCGAGUGGCGAACGGGUGAGUAACACGUGAGUAACCUGCCCUUGACUUUGGGAUAACUUCAGGAAACUGGGGCUAAUACCGGAUAGGAGCUCCUGCUGCAUGGUGGGGGUUGGAAAGUUUCGGCGGCUGGGGAUGGACUCGCGGCUUAUCAGCUUGUUGGUGGGGUAGUGGCUUACCAAGGCUUUGACGGGUAGCCGGCCUGAGCGGGUGACCGGCCACAAUGGGACUGAGAUACGGCCCAGACUCCUACGGGGGGCAGCAGUGGGGAAUAUUGCACAAUGGGCGGAAGCCUGAUGCAGCAACGCCGCGUGCGGGAUGACGGCCUUCGGGUUGUAAACCGCUUUCGCCUGUGACGAAGCGUGAGUGACGGUAAUGGGUAAAGAAGCACCGGCUAACUACGUG